rnacentral:rRNA from 1 species
GACGAACGCUGGCGGCGUGCUUAACACAUGCAAGUCGAACGGAAAGGCCCUGCUUUUGUGGGGUGCUCGAGUGGCGAACGGGUGAGUAACACGUGAGUAACCUGCCCUUGACUUUGGGAUAACUUCAGGAAACUGGGGCUAAUACCGGAUAGGAGCUCCUGCUGCAUGGUGGGGGUUGGAAAGUUUCGGCGGUUGGGGAUGGUCUCGCGGCUUAUCGGCUUGUUGGUGGGGUAGUGGCUUACCAAGGCUUUGACGGGUAGCCGGCCCGAGAGGGUGACCGGCCACAUUGGGACUGAGAGACGGCCCAGACUCCUACGGGAGGCAGCAGGGGGGAAGAUUGAACAAGGGGCGGAAGCCUGAUGCAGCAACGCCGCGGGCGGGAUGACGGCCUUCGGGUUGUAAACCGCAUUCGCCUGUGACGAAGCGUGAGUGACGGUAAUGUGUAAAGAAGCGCCGGCUAACUACGUGC